rnacentral:tRNA from 1 species
GGGGAUGGAGCAUCGCUGGUGUGGUGUGCGGUCUUCAAAACCGUUGCGGGGCAGACUAGCUCUGUCCUGGGUGGGUUCGAUUCCCACGCGUCCCCGA